rnacentral:lncRNA from 1 species
GAAACUGAUGGUCUUUUAAAUAUUAGGUAAUGACCUCCCUUCUGUCAAUUAUCAGGUUUUUGUUUGGGUGUGUAGUUUUCCAAAAAUUGUGUGCAUAUUCAAAAACAGAAAUAGAAGAGUUCCCUUUGUGGCUCAGCAGAAACGAAUCUGACUAGGAACCAUGAGGUUUCGGGUUCAAUCCCUGGCCUCACUCAGUGGGUUAAGGAUCUGGCGUUGCUGUGAGCUGUGGUGUAGGUCACAGAUGUGGCUCGGAUCUGAUGUGGCUGUGGCAAAUAUAGAAGCUAUUUUAUUUUUAUUUAUUUAUUUACUUUCAGGCCACAGGUGCGACAUGUGGAAGUUCCCAGGCUAAGGGUCAAAUUGGAGAUGCAGCUGCUGGCCUACACCACAGCCAUAGCAAUGCCAGAUCCACGCCACGACUGCAAACUGCACCGUAGCUCAUGGCAAUGCCGGAGCCUUAACCCACUGAGCUCCCUCUAUUGGAGACUGCUAUUAUGUCUUCCCUCUUAUAUCCCAUAAAAAAAGAAUAUUCUUGAUAAAAACGUUUCCUGAGGAAACUAGAGAACAAGCUGUAGAUAACCACAAUGACUGAAGAGACAACAAUAUCACUAGUGGAGGUAAAUUUAUGUUUACUUGCAUAAUUAAGAAUAAACAGUAGUUCUAAUGGAAAGUAGUAUAUGCUAGCUAUGUACUUUGAUUAAUAUAUAGGGUAGCCAUAAAGUCUGGAAAAAGAUACUACUACUUUAGUGUGUAUUGAAAUAUAAUAUCACCAAACUAUUAAUGUGUAUUCAUUUAUGUUUCCAGAUUUCGUGGCAACUUGGUAAAUAUAGUAAAACUAACAACGAGGAGAGAUUAGGUAAGUGAGGUAGACGAGUAGGUGAGAAGCAGGAAAGCUCUGAUUGGAGUUCCCGUCUUGGCGCAGAGGAAGCAAAUCCAACUAGGAACCAUGAGGUUGUGGGUUUGAUCCCUGGCCUCGCUCAGUGGGUUAAGGAUCCAGCAUUGCUGUGAGCUGUGGUGCAGAUCACAGACAUGGCUUGGAUCUGGCGUUGCUGAGCUCUGAUUAGACCCCUAGGCUGGGAACCUCCAUAUGCUGCGGGUGCGUCCCUAAAAGGACAAAAACACCAAAAAUAAUAAUUAUAAAGAAAAGCCCUGAUUGUCAUAUGCAAAUUUUAACUAGAAAUAAAAGGAUUUGCCUCAAGUUUGGUACUAGGGGAAAUGGGAAGGAGACUAAGAGAUUCUUAGAUAGAUUCAUUAUUGCUCUAUAGUAGGAAAAACUUCAGUCCUCCUGGGUUUCUCCUUUACUUUCACACUACUAUCACAAUAACAACACUUCUGACACCUAGGUGGGGGUUUUCCCCAUACCAAAUGAUUCCAUGACACCAGCUGGGUGUCCUGCAAUUUAACCCAAUUCCGAUGCUAUCUACCUAGAGAUACAGGUUAAGGGGUCAGUCCCACAAGACUGCCUGCCCCUGUGCCCUUCAAGGCCAAUCACAAGUACAGGUUGUUACAUGUGCUUCUGACCAAUCAGCUACAAGUCAGAGGUUUCUGUGACUCCCCCUUAAGUUAAAUUACUUUGCUAGAAUGACUUGCAGAACUCGAGAAAAUAGUUUACUUACUGUUCACCAGCUUUUAAUAAAAAGACAUGAUAGGAGUUCCCAUCGUGGGGCAGUGGUUAACGAAUCCGACUAGGACCCAUGAGGUUGCGGGUUCGGUCCCUGUCCUUCCUCAGUGGGUUAACGAUCCGGCGUUGCCGUGAGCUGUGGUGUAGGCUGCAGACNNNNNNNNNNNNNNNNNNNNNNNNNNNNNNNNNNNNNNNNNNNNNNNNNNNNNNNNNNNNNNNNNNNNNNNNNNNNNNNNNNNNNNNNNNNNNNNNNNNNNNNNNNNNNNNNNNNNAAAAAAAAAAAAAAAAAAAAAGACAUGAUAAAAGAUACUGAUCAACAUCUGGAUGAAAGAGAUGCUCAGGGAAGGUUGUGGGAAGGGGGUGUGGAGCCUCCCACAUCCUCUCUGGAAAUGCUCCAGACCCUGUCCACUGGGGAUUCUUAUGGAGGCUUCAUUACAUAGGCCUGAUCAAUCACUAAUUCCACUUCCAGCACCUCUCCUCUCUCCAGAGAAUGGGGGAUGGGGAUGAAUUCCAGGCUUCUGAUGCUGGCUUGGUCUUGCUGGAGACCAGCUCCCAUCUAGGAGCCCAUCAAAAAUCACCUCAUUAGAACAAAAGUUGCCCCUAUUACUCAGGAAAUUGCAAGAGAUUUAGGAGCACUGUGUCAGAAACCAGGGUCAAAGAACAAAUAUUAGCUCAAAAUAUGCUCCAGUACUCUUGUCACUUAGGUAUUUACAAAGGUUUCAGGAGCUCUGUUCCAGGGACCAGGAGCAGAGACCAAUAUAUAUAUUUUCUGUUAUCUCACAUGCUCACAUAGACAACAAUGAAAAAGAGAACUUAUAUAUUGUGAGAAAGUAUUUCUUUUCUUUUUUUUUUUUUUUUGUCUUUUUAGGGCCAAACCUGUGGCAUAUGGAGGUUCUUAGGCUAGAGUUCCAGUAGAGCUGAGGCACUGGCCUACACCACAGCCACAGCAACGUGGGAUCCGAGCCGCAUCUUUGACCCACACCACAGCCCACGGCAACGCCAGAUCCUUAACCCACCGAGCAAGGCAAGGGAUCGAACCCAUGUCCUCAUGGAUGCCAGUCACGUUCCUUAACUGCUGAGCCAUGAUGCGAACUCCUGUAUGAAAGUAUUUGGAUAUGAGUUCCUGCUGUGGCACAACAGGAUUGGUGGCAUUUGGGGAGCUCUGGGAUGCAGAUUUGAUCUCCAGCCUGGCACAGUGAGUUAAGGAUCCUGCCACUUGGCUCAAGACCGUGGCUCGGAUCUGAACCCUGGCUUGAGAAAACCAUAUACCUUGGGGUGGCCACAAAAGACAACAA